rnacentral:lncRNA from 1 species
GAUGGGCCAGGGGAUUCUAUGCAGUUAUGCAGACCUUUAUGGCAAAUAGACCCUUGGCAGCUCCGAGUGGGUCUUAUACCGAUGCUCCUUCUGAGGCAACAUCGGGCAUUGAUGCCCAGACAGAUGAAGCGACAGCGUAGACAGGAUCCCCUCUUUUACCCCCUUCUCUGUCAUACUUUCUGAUUUCUGGAUAUUUUUGUUUGGAUUUGAGGACAAAUGACUUUAUUUGUGGUGGGGUGAGGCCCAC